AAAGAAACCAACAGGGAUUGCCCUAGUAACGGCGAGUGAAGCGGCAACAGCUCAAAUUUGAAAUCUGGCCUCUGGCCCGAGUUGUAAUUUGUAGAGGAUGCUUUUGGUGAGGUGCCUUCCGAGUUCCCUGGAACGGGACGCCAUAGAGGGUGAGAGCCCCGUCUGGUUGGACACCGAGCCUCUGUAAAGCUCCUUCGACGAGUCGAGUAGUUUGGGAAUGCUGCUCUAAAUGGGAGGUAUAUGUCUUCUAAAGCUAAAUACCGGCCAGAGACCGAUAGCGCACAAGUAGAGUGAUCGAAAGAUGAAAAGCACUUUGAAAAGAGGGUUAAACAGUACGUGAAAUUGUUGAAAGGGAAGCGCUUGUGACCAGACUUGGGCUUGGUUAAUCAUCCAGUGUUCUUCACUGGUGCACUUGGCCGGCCCAGGCCAGCAUCAGUUCGGUGCGGGGGAUAAAGGCUUCGGGAAUGUGGCUCCCCCGGGAGUGUUAUAGCCCGUUGUGCAAUACCCUGCGCCGGACUGAGGUUCGCGCAUCUGCAAGGAUGCUGGCGUAAUGGUCAUCAGCGACCCGUCUUGAAACACGGACCAAGGAGUCGUCUUCGUAUGCGAGUGUUCGGGUGUCAAACCCCUACGCGUAAUGAAAGUGAACGCAGGUGAGAGCUUCGGCGCAUCAUCGACCGAUCCUGAUGUUCUCGGAUGGAUUUGAGUAAGAGCAUACGGGGCCGGACCCGAAAGAAGGUGAACUAUGCCUGUAUAGGGUGAAGCCAGAGGAAACUCUGGUGGAGGCUCGCAGCGGUUCUGACGUGCAAAUCGAUCGUCAAAUAUGGGCAUGGGGGCGAAAGACUAAUCGAACCU
rnacentral:rRNA from 1 species